rnacentral:rRNA from 1 species
UACGGGGGGGGCAAGCGUUGUUCGGAAUUACUGGGCGUAAAGGGCUCGUAGGUGGCCAACUAAGUCAGACGUGAAAUCCCUCGGCUUAACCGGGGAACUGCGUCUGAUACGGGAUGGCUUGAGUUCGGGAGAGGGAUGCGGAAUUCCAGGUGUAGCGGUGAAAUGCGUAGAUAUCUGGAGGAACACCGGUGGCGAAGGCGGCAUCCUGGACCGACACUGACACUGAGGAGCGAAAGCCAGGGGAGCAAACGGG